UACGGAGGGUGCAAGCGUUAUCCGGAUUCACUGGGUUUAAAGGGUGCGUAGGAGGGCAGGUAAGUCAGUGGUGAAAUCCCCGAGCUUAACUUGGGAACUGCCGUUGAUACUAUCUGUCUUGAAUGUCGUGGAGGUAAGCGGAAUAUGUCAUGUAGCGGUGAAAUGCUUAGAUAUGACAUAGAACACCAAUUGCGAAGGCAGCUUGCUACACAAUUAUUGACUCUGAUGCACGAAAGCGUGGGGAUCAAACAGG
rnacentral:rRNA from 1 species